CAAGUACUCCCUCCGUUCGGAAUUACUUGUCGCAGAAAUGGAUGUAUCUAGACGUAUUUUAGUUCUAGAUACAUCCAUUUCACAGACAAGUAAUUCCGAACGGAGGGAGUACAUU
rfam:Triticum aestivum genome assembly, contig: Triticum_aestivum_CS42_TGACv1_scaffold_579517_7BL